CAAACAGGAUGGUUUGCACCAUGAACAUUGAAAAGUAUGCAGAGCCCAUGGAAAUGAACAAUUCCCAGAAAGAAAGUUGAAAGGUGUUUACUGAGCACUGAUCAACGUCAAAGACCUAUUGCAGUAAGGCCUACAACCUACAGCAGCAAAGACCAAGCACUGCAGAGAUGAUCUUGGGGCACUGAUCUGACAUGCUUCUAGCAACAAAGGGGAACACCUGGGACCCUGCGAGGAGAGAGAGGUCUUCCUCCUGAUCAUCAUCUUCCUGAUUCUUGGGACUCUGGAACCUGCUGUUUUCCCUUACCUUCCAGAAUGUUCUGUUCACUGAUAACCCUUGAACAAGUUACUUGACUAUGCAGGCAGUAUCUGCUCUGUACUAAUCAGGACUCUUUGGGAUGUAAGUGACAGAAACCCAACUCCAACUAGCUGAGGCACAAGGGGAAAUGUACUAGUUCCAAAAAGCGUGGCUCAGGCAUGUUCCCUGCUCUAUGUCUCUGCCUGUUUCUGCUGUCAGCUGCCAUCUCAUCUUCUGGACUGAUCUUCUCCACAAAGCAGGAAGCAGCACCACAGUUCACAUCUCCUGAGUUUGACACCAGAGAAUAUCUCAGACUUCUCACUAGAGCUGAGUUCAAAACGACUCAGGCUGGCACGCUUCAAUCCUCUCGACUUUAGAUC
rnacentral:lncRNA from 1 species